rnacentral:rRNA from 1 species
AGUGAACGCUGGCGGUAGGCCUAACACAUGCAAGUCGAACGGCAGCACAGUAAGAGCUUGCUCUUACGGGUGGCGAGUGGCGGACGGGUGAGGAAUACAUCGGAAUCUACUUUUUCGUGGGGGAUAACGUAGGGAAACUUACGCUAAUACCGCAUACGACCUACGGGUGGAAGCAGGGGAUCUUCGGACCUUGCGCGAUUGAAUGAGCCGAUGUCGGAUUAGCUAGUUGGCGGGGUAAAGGCCCACCAAGGCGACGAUCCGUAGCUGGUCUGAGAGGAUGAUCAGCCACACUGGAGCUGAGACACGGUCCAGACUCCUACGGGAGGCAGCAGUGGGGAAUAUUGGACAAUGGGCGCAAGCCUGAUCCAGCCAUACCGCGUGGGUGAAGAAGGCCUUCGGGUUGUAAAGCCCUUUUGUUGGGAAAGAAAAGCAGCAGGUUAAUACCCCGCUGUUCUGACGGUACCCAAAGAAUAAGCACCGGCUAACUUCGUG